rnacentral:rRNA from 1 species
CCUACGGGAGGCAGCAGUGGGGAAUAUUGCACAAUGGGGGAAACCCUGAUGCAGCGACGCCGCGUGAGUGAAGAAGUAUUUCGGUACGUAAAGCUCUAUCAGCAGGGAAGAAAAUGACGGUACCUGACUAAGAAGCCCCGUCUAACUACGUGCCAGCAGCCGCGGUAAUACGUAGGGGGCAAGCGUUAUCCGGAUUUACUGGGUGUAAAGGGAGCGUAGACGGCAGCGCAAGUCUGGAGUGAAAUCCCAUGGCUUAACCAUGGAACUGCUUUGGAAACUGUGCAGCUAGAGUGCAGGAGAGGUAAGCGGAAUUCCUAGUGUAGCGGUGAAAUGCGUAGAUAUUAGGAGGAACACCAGUGGCGAAGGCGGCUUACUGGACUGUAACUGACGUUGAGGCUCGAAAGCGUGGGGAGCAAACAGGAUUAGAUACCCGAGUAGU